rnacentral:rRNA from 1 species
AGUGAACGCUGGCGGUAGGCCUAACACAUGCAAGUCGAACGGCAGCACAGUAAGAGCUUGCUCUUACGGGUGGCGAGUGGCGGACGGGUGAGGAAUACAUCGGAAUCUACUUUUUCGUGGGGGAUAACGUAGGGAAACUUACGCUAAUACCGCAUACGACCUACGGGUGAAAGCAGGGGAUCUUCGGACCUUGCGCGAUUGAAUGAGCCGAUGUCGGAUUAGCUAGUUGGCGGGGUAAAGGCCCACCAAGGCGACGAUCCGUAGCUGGUCUGAGAGGAUGAUCAGCCACCAGGGAACUGAGACACGGUCCAACCCCCUACGGGAGGCAGCGGGGGGGAAUUUUGGACAAGGGGCGCAAGCCUGAUCCAGCCAUCCCGGGUGGGUGAAGAAGGCCUUCGGGUUGUAAAGCCCUUUUUUGGGGAAAAAAAAGCAGCAGGUUAAUACCCCGCUGUUCGGACGGUACCCAAAGAAUAAGCACCGGCUAACUUCGU